rnacentral:rRNA from 1 species
GACGAACGCUGGCGGCGUGCUCAACACAUGCAAGUCGAACGAAGUGGCGAACGGGUGAGUAACGCGUAAUCAACUUGCCCUUCCGAGGGGGUCCACAGUUGGAAACGACUGCUAAUACCGCAUACUGAAGGAGGGGAUUGCGUCUGAUUAGCUAGUUGGUGGGGUAACGGCCCCCCAAGGCGAUGAUCAGUAGCCGGUCUGAGAGGAUGAACGGCCACAUUGGGACUGGGACACGGCCCAGACUCCUACGGGAGGGAGCAGUGGGGAAUCUUCCGCAAUGGACGAAAGUCUUACGGAGCAACGGCGCGUGAGUGAUGAAGGCCUUCGGGUUGUAAAGCUCUGUUAAUCGGGACGCGGUACCGGAAGAGAAAGCAACGGCUAACUACGUGCCAGCAGCCGCGGUAAUUC